GACAGAGGCCUCGAGCGUUAGGCGGAAUCACUGGGCUUAAAGCGUGUGUAGGCGGGCCCGUAAGUGUCUUGUGAAAUCCUACGGCUCAACCGUGGAACUGCUGGGCAUACUGCGGGUCUUGGGCCAACUAGGGGCAGCCGGAACAAGCGGUGGAGCGGUGAAAUGCGUAGAUAUCGCUUGGAACGCCGAAGGUGAAAACAGGCUGCUGGGGUUGCGCCGACGCUGAGACACGAAGGCCAGGGGAGCAAACGGG
rnacentral:rRNA from 1 species